rnacentral:lncRNA from 1 species
CAGUUUCUGUGGUCAGGCCCCGAGAGAGACAUGUUUUUCUAUUAUCUCAGCCAUCCAUCUCCCCAUUUAACCGCUUAGUUCUGCGGUGAGAAGCAUUGCUAGUAUAAAUAAUGUAAUCAGUAUAAAUAAAACAAUCACUAUUGUUUACUAACAAUAGAGCUAAAACAAUAUUAAGAGAAUGGAGAUAAGUAAGGGAAGGUUUAUGCUAGAGAGAGAGCCAAAUGCUUAUGGCUAUUAGCAGAAGUACAAUCACAAGAAGUCCAGUUUGGAUAAGUCAAGGAGAAACAGAAUAAGCUGUUUCUUUCAUAGGUAAAUACCUCUCUAGGUAUGCAUACCAUGUGAACCAGCAACCCCACUUUUAGGUAUUUAUCCAAAAGAAAUGAAAACAUGUCCACACAAAGACUUUAUUCAUAAUAGUCAAAGAUUGAAAAUAGCCCAAAUGCCCAUCAACUGGGGAAUGGAUAAACAACUUGUAAUAGAUCUAUAUAAUGAAAUACUUCUUAGUAAUAAAAAGAAAUGGAGUAUUGCUAGAUGCAGCAACACAGAUAAAUCUGAAAAGCAUUACACUAAGUGCACAAAUCCAGACACAGAGCCCAUAUAUUGUAUGAUUUCAUUUACACUAGAUUCUGGAUAAGGCCGACUCAUAUGACAGAAAGCUGAUUAGUGCUGGGGGAAGAAGGAGAGCUUGAUGGCAAAUGGCAAACAGGAAAUUUUUGGGGUGAUGGAAAUGCUCUAUAGCUUGACUGUGGUGAUUACACAACUUUAGACAUUUUUCAAAACUUAUUGCAUUACAUACCAGUUUUGCAAAUAAAGUUGAUUUUAAAAAUAACUACAAAGAUAAUGAAAGCUAAAUUAUCAGAAGUGAAAAGACACUUUUUGAAAUGAAACAACAGAUUAGAGGUUAACAGAUUAACCUCUAAUCAGGUCCCAUGAGCUGAAAAAGACUUAGUGAUUUGGAUUACGGCUUCAAAUGCAGACACAAGAAAAGAGGAAGAAAAUACAAGGUGAGUUUAUGGAAUAUGAAAGGUGAAAUUAGAAAUUCUAACACAUAGCUAAUCAGCUUCCAUGAGUGAGAGUAACAGAAAGUGAUCUGAAGAUAAAAUGACUGAAAAACUUCUACAUUUGAAAGAGACUAAUCCACAUAGACAGAAGACAUAAUUUAUACCAAGCAUCAUAAAUAAAAGGAAAUUCAUACCUAAGCCUAUUGCAUUAAAGCUAUAGAAUGACAAAGAUGAGGUUUCAAACAUCUAUACAGACAAGCCAUAUCAUUUACAAAGAAAUUAAAAUUAAAAUCAGAGAAGCAAAGGAGUAUUAAAAUAUGCUGAGAGGGAAAAAAAUCUGUCAUCUUAGAAUGAGUACUAACAAACUGUCUCUCAAGAACAAGCAUAAAAUAUAUAUACAUUUUUGGAUAAAGACAAUCUGAGUUUAUCUCUAACUAAAUUUACUACAGAAAUUACCAAAGAAUAUACUUUAGAAAGAAGAAAAAAUGAUCCCCAAAGGAAGGUUUAAGAUGCAAGAAGAAAUAAUAAACAGAUGGGUAAGUAUAUAGAUAACUCUCAAAGAACACUAUUUUUAAUAAAAAGUAAAAUAUAUGUAGUCAGAGAAGGCACAAUAAAAUACCAACAUAAUUGCAUGUAAGUCAGUAGGAGUUUUCAAGAAUCAAACUGCUAUAAUGUACUCAUAUUAUUUAGGAAAUGAAGAUGCGUUUUUGGGCUGGGCAUGGUGGUUCACACCUGUAAUCCCAGUACUUUGGGAGGCCGAGGCCAGUGGAUGACCUGAGGUCAAGAGUUCAAGACCAGCCUGGCCAACACGGUGAAACCCUGUCUCUACUAAAAAUAUGCAACAAGAGUGAAACUCUGUCUCAAAAAAAAAAAAAAAUACAANNNNNNNNNNNNNNNNNNNNNNNNNNNNNNNNNNNNNNNNNNNNNNNNNNNNNNNNNNNNNNNNNNNNNNNNNNNNNNNNNNNNNNNNNNNNNNNNNNNNNNNNNNNNNNNNNNNNNNNNNNNNNNNNNNNNNNAAAAAAAAAAAAAAGAAAAAAGAUACGUUUUUGAUUAAUUUUAGGAUUUAUAAUUUUAAUAGUAAAACAUCGAGGACAACCUGUAAAUAGAAAAAGUGUGAACAAGUGUCAAACUGGAAGAAGUAAAACAAAUAAACAAACAAAUAAAAUUAGAGGAAGAAAAACCCCAAAAGAUUUAGCAGAAGCUUCCAGAGCCCACUCACAACUUUUCAGCCUACUCUGGAGUUCAGCUGCCGAUUUCCCCAGAGGCUGAUGCCUCUGUGCUUCUCUCUGCCUCAGGUAUUGCAGAGCCAAUGCCCCAGAAACCACCCUCAGUCAACGAGCAAGGAAAUUGGUAGACAAAUAUCUGGCCUUCCUCAUCCCUGGGUGGGACAAUUCUAAGAUGUCUUUUACACAUCUCGGAGAGCAUCCACUGGAAAUAAGCCCACUGCUUUAGCGACAGCCCAUAAUUAACAUGCUCUUUAUUGGCUUCUCUCCCUUCCUAGCUCCCUCAGGACUUUUUGGAAUAACUCCUCCCAAAACUACUUAACCCUAAAUCUUUGUUGCAAAGCCUGCAUUACAGGGAAUCCGAAAAUAAGGGAAAGGCCAGUAAAUGAGGUAAAAGGAGGCAUACAUAAAAGCAUGAAAAAAAUUUUAAAAACACUAAUAAAAAUUAUAACAAUUAAUGCAUACAUAUAAAUCAUGACAAUAAAUGAAAAAUGCAUUAAUUUCACAAAAUAAGACACAGGUUGUCAGAUUGGAUUAUAAUGAGAUUAUGGCCAGCUU